UUCCGCCAUAGUGGGUGAUAGCCCCGUAUUUGAAAUCUUAACCAUGGUACUAAGUAUACGAGAAGUAGGGCGGGACACGUGAAAUCCUGUCUGAAUAUGGGGGGACCAUCCUCCAAGGCUAAAUACUCAUCAUCGACCGAUAGUGAACCAGUACCGUGAGGGAAAGGCGAAAAGAACCCCGGAAGGGGAGUGAAAUAGAACCUGAAACCUGAUGCAUACAUACAGUGGGAGCAUCUUUGUGGUGUGACUGCGUACCUUUUGUAUCUGUCUCUUAUACACAUCU
rnacentral:rRNA from 1 species